CAGUCUGCGGGAAAUCCUCGUCUUGGCUCCAAUCAUCAGAAAACCUGUUCUUUACCACAGGUGGGAAGUUGCUACUAAAGCUAUGCCGCUUAUGAGGAAUCAGGCACGCGUCCUGAAUGAUCAUGCAUAUGGGGAGGAAUCUUAAUAACUUUCUAAGAGCCGUUGGGAAGAGGUGUGCAGCCGGAGCUUAUGGAUUAGAACACGUGGCUGGUGCAUGAACCUUGAAAUGAGGAGUGAAUGAAGGCAGGAGUUACUGGAAGGGAGGUCAGGAUUCAACAAAGACAACCAGACGGCUCUGUGUGGUGUUUGGAGAGCAGUCCCUGUUGAAGCUCUUCUGCAGCUCUUUACCAGCGUUCAAUUCAACCCAAGGAACCAAGAACCGAGGAGGAAGGAAGUAAUUGACAUUCAAAGUCUCUAUUUUUAGACACCUUUACACUUUCUUUUGCUUCUAACUAGCAAGGAUUUUUCCAAACAAGCUUUUAAUUAGCAG
rnacentral:lncRNA from 1 species